AGAGCGAGCGCUGGCGGCAGGCCUAACACAUGCAAGUCGAACGAUCCUUCGGGAUAGUGGCGGACGGGUGAGUAACACGUGGGAACGUGCCUUUUGGUUCGGAACAACUCAGGGAAACUUGAGCUAAUACCGAAUGUGCCCUUCGGGGGGAAAGAUUUAUCGCCAUUAGAGCGGCCCGCGUCUGAUUAGCUAGUUGGUGAGGUAAAGGCUCACCAAGGCUACGAUCAGUAGCUGGUCUGAGAGGAUGAUCAGCCACAUUGGGACUGAGACACGGCCCAAACCCCUACGGGAGGCAGCAGUGGGGAAUCUGCGCAAUGGGCGAAAGCCUGACGCAGCCAUGCCGCGUGAAUGAUGAAGGUCUAGAUUGUAAAUUCUUUCACCGGGACGAUAAUGACGGUACCGGAAGAACGAGCCCGGCUAACUCGUGCCAGCAGCCGC
rnacentral:rRNA from 1 species